rnacentral:rRNA from 1 species
UACCAGCACCCCGAGUGGUCGGGACGAUUAUUGGGCCUAAAGCAUCCGUAGCCGGUUCUACAAGUCUUCCGUUAAAUCCACCUGCUUAACAGAUGGGCUGCGGAGGAUACUAUGGAGCUAGGAGGCGAGAGAGGCAAGCGGUACUUAGUGGGUAGGGGUAAAAUCCGUUGAUCCAUUGAAGACCACCAGUGGCGAAGGCGGCUUGCCAGAACGCACUCGACGGUGAGGGAUGAAAGCUGGGGGAGCAAACCGG